rnacentral:lncRNA from 10 species
AAGCUUUCCCCUCCUCUCUUGCCAGCCGUUGUUCCUAAUCUUGUCUUUUUUAAGGGAGGAAAGCAGGAGAACUCAUGACACUUUGUAUCACAGGAAAUCAAGUUGGUGGACAGAGGGUUUGCUGACCUCUCCCGUCCCUCCUCAGGGUCCCUAGGAGAAUUUUUGAAGAAGUAAUCGGCAGCAAGGAGAUGGGGGCAAUAGAGAGUCUCAGACUCGCAGGGACCCAUGUUCGUCCCCAGCGCCACUACUUUCAAACCGUUAUCCCUCAGAGCUGUUUCCUCACCUCCACAACAACUCUCCCGGGUUCGAUGACACUAUAUAUCCCACCAGUUCAUCUUGGUACAGGCCAAAAGUUAGACAUCUGGGAGGAAAAGCCAAGAGACAACUGGAAGUCUCUGUUCACCACCACUGCCACAGCUUGAGAAUAAUUGUCCCAUUGG